rnacentral:rRNA from 1 species
CCUACGGGAGGCAGCAGUGAGGAAUAUUUGUCAAUGGACGAGAGUCUGAACCAGCCAAGUAGCGUGAAGGAUGACUGCCCUAUGGGUUGUAAACUUCUUUUAUAUGGGAAUAAAACGUUCCACGUGUGGGAUUUUGUAUGUACCAUAUGAAUAAGGAUCGGCUAACUCCGUGCCAGCAGCCGCGGUAAUACGGAGGAUCCGAGCGUUAUCCGGAUUUAUUGGGUUUAAAGGGAGCGUAGGUGGAUUGUUAAGUCAGUUGUGAAAGUUUGCGGCUCAACCGGAAAAUUGCAGUUGAAACUGGCAGUCUUGAGUACAGUAGAGGUGGGCGGAAUUCGUGGUGUAGCGGUGAAAUGCUUAGAUAUCACGAAGAACUCCGAUUGCGAAGGCAGUUCACUGGACUGCAACUGACACUGAGGCUCGAAAGUGUGGGUAUCAAACAGGAUUAGAUACCCGUGUAGUC